rnacentral:tRNA from 1 species
UUGGAAUUAGCUCAGUUGGAUAGAGCUCCGGUCUUGGGAACUGGUGGCGCCGGUUCGAUUCCGGCAUUCCAAA